rnacentral:rRNA from 1 species
UACGGGGGGGGCAAGCGUUGUUCGGAAUCAUUGGGCGUAAAGGGCGUGUAGGUGGUUAUGUAUGUCUACCGUGAAAGCGUACGGCUCAACCGUAUUUAGUCGGUAGAAACUGCAGGACUUGAGGCUGGGAGGGGCUGGUGGAAUUCCCCGUGUAGCGGUGAAAUGCGUAGAGAUGGGGGAGAACACUCGUGGCGAAGGCGGCCAGCUAGACCAGUUCUGACACUGAGGCGCGAUAGCGUGGGGAGCAAACAGG